rnacentral:rRNA from 1 species
GCAGUAGCCGCGGUAAGAUAGAGGAUGUAAGCGUUAUCCAGAAUGAUUGGGCGUAAAGCGUCUAUAGGUGGCUUUUCAAGUCCGCCGUCAAAUGCCAGGGCUCAACCCUGGACAGGCGGUGGAAACUACCAAGAUGGAGUACGGUAGGGGCAGAGGGAAUUUCCGGUGGAGCGGUGAAAAGCGUUGAGAUCGGAAAGAACACCAACGGUGAAAGCACUCUGCUGGGCUGACACUGACACUGACACUGAGAGACGAAAGCUAGGGGAGCAAAUGGGAUUAGAUACCCCCGUAGUCCCUGUCCC